GUAUGAUAGAGGCGCUUAAAUAUUGAUAAUAUCAGGUGAGGUUAGGCUACAACACUCUAUUGGGGACCCCUCUCACCCAUCAACAUCAUGCAAAAAAGAGAAAGUGGGCUUGGUUGUGUCCUCACUGCACGUGACUGGGGGAACUCUGGCAGUCAGCUUGGAGGGACCCUCUCUGGGAACAGCAGAGACCAGCAACACGCGUCCGCAUUACAGGUGGGUAGUUCUCCCAGUGAGUGCCAAGUUUCUCUGUCUUUUAUACCUUUUAGCAAGUUUGUAACUUUUCCAAGAUUUCUUAUCAGUGCAGCCCAGCAUGUAUCUUGUCAUGCGCAUUAGGUCAUCAGUAUGGUUGAUCAGGCCAGUCGUGACCACCCAAGGCUCAUGCCAGAUACGUGCGGUAUCUUAUUCUCUCUAUGUCCCUACUCUUAUCUCUCCAUACAUUUGUUGGCACCAAUUCCCUCUGUUCAUCACGUAGGCCUUUUUGGAUAUUGUCCAGACAUGCUAUGGAAUAUUCCAGGCAAUGUUGAAUUUCUUAGUGCGACACAGUUUAAGCAUUUUAUGCAAUGUCAUCAUAGCUGAAUUUCUUGGUGCGACACAAGCUGAAUUUCUUGGUGCGACACAAGCUGAAUUUCUUAGUGCGACACAAGCUGAAUUUCUUAGUGCGACACAAGCUGAAUUUCUUAGUGCGACACAAGCUGAAUUUCUUAGUGCGGCACAAGUUGAAUUUCUUAGUGCGACACAGUUUAAGCCAAGUGCCAUCUUAACUAUCU